rnacentral:lncRNA from 1 species
UUUAAACCCAACUUGGUAUUGAUUAAAUCUUCAAUUUAGUAAAAUUGUAUAUAAGGCAAGAGAAUUACUUUUAGCUAUGAGAGUUCAAUGAUUAAUGAAAAUACUAUAGUGAAAUACGUAUUCGCCUCAAGCAGCCAAUCUUUGGCAAUUUUGUUAGAAUGAAAUUAAUAACAUCACUAUUAACUUGCAUGUGAAUAAUUCCACCACAUUGAAUGUCUAUUAAUGUGGCAUUUACUUAAUAUUUUUUACUGGGUUUUUCUAAUAGAAUUUUAGAACUCAUCGGCGACAGGCGUGCUGGAGGUCAGUUGGCUUUAGGUUGCAAUUGUUUCAUUGCAAUAAAUUAUGAAUAAUUCAACCUGUGCUAUUCAAAUUUUUAUAUAGUGGGUUACUGUUGACAAAAUUGAGGUCAAGUUCAAUUUUCACUUUUGCUGUUCAGGAAUUUAUAUGGUCCUUGAUUGGAAAAAAGGCACUUUAUAUUGUUUCCCUGUAAUUACUUAAUUGAACAGUUCAACAAAUGCUUUUUAACAUGUAAGUAUGUUGUUACCGAUGACAAAAUGAGAUCAAUUUUGAUAUUGAUAAUUUUCAUUUUGUCGUUCAGAAGUUAUGGUUCUUAUUGAUUAAGGGCAAUAACUUUUAGAAAUAAUCCACUAAUCAUAUUUCAAAUUUUAAUAGGGUGUUUAUACUUAUGGCCAAAUUGAUGUCUACUUCUAUAUUGACAAUGUUUUAAUAUUGCAUUCAGGUGUAAUGGCCCAUAAAUAGAUGUAAUAAAAACCAAGCAUGCUGUCAUUUUGACAGACACUUGUUUGUGCAAUGUGUUUGCUGAUAGCUUGUCCGGGUUGAUAAGGGACUCAUACAUUGUUUUAUGAUAAUAUGCCUUAUUACAUUAGAUACCUCAAAGUUUGAAUUCUAUGUUUCAGUGUAACACACAUUAUUUUAAUUCUGUGCCAGUGUAUCAUAAGGAUUCUAAAAACUCAUUGACUAAACUAACUUUUACAAAAACAUUACCGAUUUAAAGAUUUCUACCCCCUUAACAACAUCUUAAUUGUGACCUAGUAAGCUGUAAGAUUACAUAGGAAGUGAAAAUUCUCAGUUAUAAAAAGUUUAUGUUAACACCUUAUUUGUAAAUACAUACUUGUGCUCAAGUAUAUUGUAUUUCCUUGUCUUAUAUUGCUUUAGUCAGGAAACUCUCAUUCGAAACUUUGAGUUGUUCUUUUGCAGAUGAAAGUCUCUUUGUUAUUUUCUUACUUGUUUAUGGUUUUGUUUAUUUUUUUCUUUCCUUGAUUCUUGAGGUCUAUUUGGUUUAAAAUGAAAUUUUCCUAUUUUGUUUUGAAAAUUUCCAUACUUGUGCAAUAAUUUUUCUUACAAUUUCACUGGUAAUGAAACUGUAAUUUAGCAAUUAGCAAAAUAACCCCAAAAACUGUUAGAUAAAAGUUUCAAUGUAGUAUAUAUUGAAUUGUUUUAUAUAUAUAUAAUUUUAUUUAUAGUGCAACCUGAUAUAACAUUUAUUUUACAUACAUUGAUACAAAGUCAAUCAGCCAGCCUUCAAAGGCUUACGAAGCACUGUUAUAAAAGUGGCUAAUUAAGCUAUACAGUUUAUACACUUUAAAAAUAUUAUGUUUCCUGUUUAAGGUGGAACUAACACUUUAACAAAAAUUAAUUUGGCUCGUUUAAUUUUCUUAAAAUUUUGACAAAGUAUUUACUUUGACCCUUUGACAAAAAUAUAAAAAUUUCAAAAAAUUUGAACCAACCAUUUUAUCAGAAAAAUUACACUGGUUAUAUAGCAGUUUGACAAACACUCAUUUUGAUCAUUGAGAAGCUUAAUAUGCCCUUAAGAACACAACGUCAUUAAAACGUUCUGCUGAUUUUACAGAGUUAUCUCCCUGUAGUGUUAGGUACCACCUUAAAAAAACAAUUAGUGUACAAGAUUAUAAGAAACUUGUAUUUCAUUGAACUUUUGAAUUUCAAUGUGGUUCAUUUAAAUUCUAGAAUCUUUGCAAAAUAAUAUCCUAAAAAUAAUAUUAAGUGCCAAGAAUGAUUAAUUACAUUAAAAAAUAAAAGAAGUUGAUAGAACAUGUUGAUUAAAUGUCCUGUUUGAUAAGGCCAAAUAAAAUAACAUAUGUGUUUCCUAUUACAUCUUUGAAAAUAAUAAGUAGGGAUUUUUUUAUGCCCCACCUACGAUAGUAGAGGGGCAUUAUGUUUUCUGGUCUGUGCGUCCGUUCGUCCGUUCGUUCGUCCGGUUCUUCGUUCGUUCGU